rnacentral:tRNA from 1 species
GGUCUGAUGGCCGAGUGGGCUAAGGCGCCAAUCCCUUAUGUUGGUGCUGGGUUUGAAUCCCAUCGGUUUC